CAAACACAAAAUUAGGCAAUAUAGUACUCGUACAUGGUUCACCAAGCUCUUAGUACAUGCACAUACCUACAACAGUACGUUUAACAGAUACUAUGUGAAGCACAAGUGAAUGGGAGUCAUACAAGUCUGUGGCAAAACCCCCCAAAUAGAGAAAGUAUGCUUUUAAAUGCUAUGUACUCUUCUGUCUUGUUGUGUCCAUAGAGGAUGAGCAACCACGAGGAUCAUUAGAGGAAGACCUUCACAUAUCCAUGCAAACUCCCUCCUGAGGAGGAAAAAGUUCACCAGCAAACACAUUCUUCCCAACUCUCUUGGUUGUUCAUGAAGUGUGUGCGAUGUUGAAUGCUUUGAAAUGAAGCUACUUCUCCUAGUCUUGUUGUCAGUACGAGUCUGCUGGUAGUCACGGGAGGAAACAUGGUAGCAAGUAUUGAUGCACUUCUCUUGUCCAUACAUCAUCCAAGUUCCAACACAAUCAGGUAGCUCUGGCCACUCAACUUUUUUUAUAUGUGCGCUUAGUUUGCGUCUAUGUUCUCCCAUACAUGAAUUACUAGGCUCACGCCGUGAGCAAGUUGUAAUCCCAGUAUAGUUUUCGCGUAAAGAUCUACUAAGGCAAGCUUAACCA